UUUCCGUAGGUGAACCUGCGGAAGGAUCAUUAAAAAUGCACCCGGGAAAGCGGUCCUUCUAACCCGUGAUUAUCUUAAUUUGUAUCUUUGGUGGGCCGCGCAAGCACCGGCUUCGGCACGAUCGUGCCAGCCAGAGCACACAACUCUGUAUCAAAUGUCGUCUGAGUACUAUAAAAUAGUUAAAACUUUCAACAACGGAUCUCUUGGUUCUG
rnacentral:misc_RNA from 1 species